CAACCAGGUGGAACUACAGCUGGACGAGGCCAGGACCACCUAUCGGAGGAUCCUGCAGGAGUCGGCGAGGAAACUGAAUACACAGGGUUCCCACUUGGGGAGCUGCAUCGAGAAAGCCCGGCCCUACUAUGAGGCUCGGCGGCUGGCUAAGGAGGUAUGGCUGGCUGACCACGUUUGAGGAAGGCUACAUGCUGAGCCUGGCCCUGGAUUCUUCUGUCUCUAUGUGGAGUGAGAGACAAAACACCAGACCCUGAGGGCAGAGCCCUGGGCUAGACCUGGCUGGUCGGAACCAGCUCUGUGGGCUCAGGAGGUUCCUUUACCACCGUGGGCUCUGGGCUCAUGGUCUAUAAAAUGGUGAGGGUGGGUGUGGGAGAACAUUCAGUUCAGCCCUGCUAAUGUUUAAGUGCCUUCUGCGUAUCAGGAACCAGGCUUUAGGGUAUAUCAGAUGUCAGUUCUAACAUCUUGUUGUUUUCAUCUACACCCAUUUCCUCUUCCCUUUGGUUCAUGUCUCUCUUCUGAAUCAUUUCUUUGCUUACUCCUCACUCUUUUCCCCAUCCCACCCCCCCUUUUUUCUGUAACAAAUUAUUUUUAACAAAUAAUAUGUGUUCACCGUUGGAAGAACAUAAUAAAACAAGAAGGAAACAAAAAUCACCCAAAA
rnacentral:sRNA from 1 species